AAAUCAGACCUUAAAAAGAACUUUGUCUUUGCCUGUAUUUGUAUUCCACUUGUUUUUUUUUCUUGUCUUCCAGCCUGACCAUUCUCUUGGAUUAUAUUAAUUUAUUGACUCCACCGACCACCUACCACACCACCAUCCUUCUGAAAUCGACCCUCCUUCUCGGUGAGGAAAAACUCCUAGAGAAACCAAUUCUGGAAAAAAACGCAGAAACCUCAGGGGUGUCCACAUGAAGGAGGGAUCCUCCCCCAGGACGGACAGGCGAUGUCAAAUCUCAAAGAUGUCAAGAAGUCCUGCUAGUUUGUGGGAGAUGACCCUAAUCCUGGAUUCUCUUUUUACAUCCUGUUUCUCACAUUUGAAGUGUUUCUGUGAUGAACAUUGCAGAAUAAAUCAAAGAUUUUGAA